GUGUCAGCCGCCGCGGUAAGACGAACCGUCCAAACGUUAUUCGGAAUUAUUGGGCUUAAAGGGUGCGUAGGCUGUGCAGUAAGUUGGGUGUGAAAUCCCUCGGCUCAACCGAGGAACUGCGCCGAAUACUGCUGUGCUAGAGGAAGAUAGGGGUAAGCGGAACUGAUGGUGGAGCGGUGAAAUGCGUUGAUAUCAUCAGGAACACCGGUGGCGAAGGCGGCUUACUGGAUCUUUUCUGACGCUGAUGCACGAAAGCUAGGGGAGCGAACGGGAUUAGAAACCCCAGUAGUCC
rnacentral:rRNA from 1 species